UUCUGGAAUGUUCUUAUUUGACAAACAUGGCUGGCAAUGCCAUCCUUCACAGCCCUGACGUCAAGGCCUUGAGGAAAGCAUUGUAGACUCGUCCUGUUUUCAUUUUCCUGAGAAAGGGCCACCCGCAGAGUGCGGACUCAUUCUCCACAGGACUGCAAACCGAGCAGCCAAAGAAAUGCUAAGGCCCUAUGUUUACAGGCCUAAUACUCCUGGAUCCGGAGCUCAAAACUGUGAAGGCCGACUAGAGCAAAGCAAACAGCAGCGGAAGUAGGGCUGAUGGUUUUAUCUCAGUGGUAGAGUUUUCAGGAAGUAAGUAAAGAACAUUAACAAGGAGUUGCUGCACUUAGAACACCUACAAUAGUGGAUCCAACUGAGAAGCAACUGGUGACAUCAUGCCCUACUCCCUUGACAAUAGACACACAGCAGUACCUGGUUCCAAAAUAAGACAAUAAAAGCUCCUGGUGUGUUGUGGG
rnacentral:lncRNA from 1 species